rnacentral:misc_RNA from 1 species
UAUGAAGAACGCAGCGAAAUGCGAUAAGUAAUGUGAAUUGCAGAAUUCAGUGAAUCAUCGAAUCUUUGAACGCACAUUGCGCCCCCCAGUAUUCUGGCGGGCAUGCCUGUUCGAGCGUCAUUUCAACCAUCAAGCCCUGCUUGUGUUGGGGUCCUGCGGCUGCCCGCAGGCCCUGAAAACCAGUGGCGGGCUCGCUAGUCACACCGAGCGCAGUAGCACAUCUCGCUCAGGGCGUGCGGCGGGCUCCAGCCGUUAAAGCACCCACCUUUCGCAAGGUUGACCUCGGAUCAGGUAGGAAUACCCGCUGAACUUAAGCAUAUCAAUAAGCGGAGGA